UAUCGCUCAAAGAUGUUUUACUUUUUUAAUCAUUUACAAACUUAAAGUUUACGACAUACUUGCGCCGAUUUCCGGUAAUUUCCCAAAUCUCGAUGUAAACAACAAGUCGGAAUGACAAAAACUGAUGGAUAUUAUUAGUGUAUGACGAAUAUUGCGAACACAAACUGAUGUCGGGUGUCAUAAAAAGGGAAUGGAAAAAAGGACGAGACCAUACACCAGUUCCCUGUGAUCUAAACCUGCCAUUUGCAAGCAGUAAGCAUGACUUUUCAAACCUCCAAGAGAUGAGAACAUCACUGGUAUGUGUUAACGAGGUCAUUCCUAAUACAAGACACAAUGCGGAAAAAUAUAAGACUAAUGUAAAGAACUGAAACCAUGAGUGAUGAAGAGAAGAGCUGAUAAUCAGAUUAUUGUCUCUGUUAUGUUCAUCCUGAUAAAGCCUUUCCCGAUUGAUGCCCUGGAUCAUUUAUUUGGUAAUUUAAGGAUGACAAUAUUUAUUUCAACAUUUAUGAUAUAAUAUUAAGACAAUUAAUAAGCAGCACAACAUAUCCUGAAAUAUGAAACUGGACCAAACCAGUGAUAAUCUACCAUUUAUGAUUUAUUACAUUUACUUGGAUUUGAAAACCAUUUCUGAAACUCCAAAAGUCAUGAAUAAUUUGGACAUAUAAUGCAUACAAUUAAGAAUUAGUAUUGUAAAAGAAUAUAUAUUAUGAUA